UACGGAGGAUGCAAGCGUUAUCCGGAUUCAUUGGGUUUAAAGGGUGCGUAGGCGGCUAUUUAAGUCAGUGGUGAAAUCUUGCCGCUUAACGGUAAAAUUGCCAUUGAUACUGAAUAGCUUGAGUACAGUUGAGGUAGGCGGAAUGUGUAGUGUAGCGGUGAAAUGCUUAGAUAUUACACAGAACACCAAUUGCGAAGGCAGCUUACUAAACUGUCACUGACGCUGAUGCACGAAAGCGUGGGGAUCGAAC
rnacentral:rRNA from 1 species